AUUGCCUCAGUAACGGCGAGUGAAGCGGCAACAGCUCAAAUUUGAAAUCUGGCCCUAGGCCCGAGUUGUAAUUUGCAGAGGAUGCUUUUGGCGCGGUGCCUUCCGAGUUCCCUGGAACGGGACGCCAUAGAGGGUGAGAGCCCCGUACGGUUGGACACCAAGCCUCUGUAAAGCUCCUUCGACGAGUCGAGUAGUUUGGGAAUGCUGCUCUAAAUGGGAGGUAUAUGUCUUCUAAAGCUAAAUACCGGCCAGAGACCGAUAGCGCACAAGUAGAGUGAUCGAAAGAUGAAAAGCACUUUGGAAAGAGAGUUAAACAGCACGUGAAAUUGUUGAAAGGGAAGCGUUUACGACCAGACUUGGGCCGGUUGAUCAUCCAGCGUUCUCGCUGGUGCACUCUGCCGGUCCAGGCCAGCAUCAGUUCGCCCCGGGGGAUAAAGGCGGCGGGAAUGUAGCUCCUCCGGGAGUGUUAUAGCCCACCGUGCAAUACCCUGUGGCGGACUGAGGUUCGCGCUCUGCAAGGAUGCUGGCGUAAUGGUCGUCAACGACCCGUCUUGAAACACGGACCAAGGAGUCGUCUUCGUAUGCGAGUGUUCGGGUGUCAAACCCCUACGCGUAAUGAAAGUGAACGCAGGUGAGAGCUUCGGCGCAUCAUCGACCGAUCCUGAUGUUCUCGGAUGGAUUUGAGUAAGAGCAUACGGGGCCGGACCCGAAAGAAGGUGAACUAUGCCUGUAUAGGGUGAAGCCAGAGGAAACUCUGGUGGAGGCUCGCAGCGGUUCUGACGUGCAAAUCGAUCGUC
rnacentral:rRNA from 1 species